rnacentral:rRNA from 1 species
GAACCUGCGGAAGGAUCAUUAAUAAGGAUGCCGGGAAACCGGUAGACCCCACCCGUGUCUAUCUACUCUUGUUGCUUUGGCAGGCCGUGGUCUUCCACUGCGGGCUCUGCCUGCAUGUGCCUGCCGGAGGACCAAACUCUGAAUUUUAGUGAUGUCUGAGUACUAUAUAAUAGUUAAAACUUUCAACAACGGAUCUCUUGGUUCUGGCAUCGAUGAAGAACGCAGCGAAAUGCGAUAAGUAAUGUGAAUUGCAGAAUUCAGUGAAUCAUCGAAUCUUUGAACGCACAUUGCGCCCUGUGGUAUUCCGCAGGGCAUGCCUGUUCGAGCGUCAUUACAACCACUCAAGCCUGGCUUGGUAUUGGGGCGUGCGGUUCCGCAGCCCCUAAAAUCAGUGGCGGUGCCGGUGGGCUCUACGCGUAGUAAAUCUCCUCGCGAUUGAGCUCCCCCGGUGGCCUGCCAGAACCCCCCAAUUUUUCAGGUUGACCUCGGAUCAGGUAGGGAUACCCGCUGAACUUAAGCAUAUCAAUAAGUCGGAGGAGA